rnacentral:lncRNA from 1 species
CUGGCAGGCAGCGGCUGCAAUGAGCUGGCUCGUGUGAGGAGCUCAGAAAAGAGAGCUCCUCACUGACGGAGCAAAAUGCAAAUGGCAGCAUCAGCUGGCCCAGGGCUGGCACACCAGGGAAGGGGUCCCUGUCCCAGCUGGGGUCCAUGUGUGCACAUACAGGCUGUUUGAUUCAGGACGCUGCACCGUUGGGAACAGGAAGGAUGCACCCAGGCUCCUUGUCUGCUCAACCUGGAUCUCGGGCUCCUUUCCUACUCAGGUGCUCACCGUGGUCCCAUGGAUAAAACAAGGGGAGCCCCCAGGGCCGUGAGCCUCUUCCUGAGAGGUGCUCCCAAACAUUCAGCCACUGCCUCCAUCCUUCCAGCCACAGCAGUGGUUUCCACAGGCCUUUCUUCCCUAAUCAGCAGGUGCGUGCUGGUAGUGCCCCAGCUCUGCUUUGCAGCGUAUGAUGAAUGGAUGAACUCGGAGGAAGAUGAUUUCUGGAAUGAGAAUGGAUUUUUCAAAAUGAAAAAUCUUUGCCACGAGUCCAUCGGUCACUGUUAG